GCUUCAAGUUCAUUAGCUAUGUCAGUAUGAUCUGCAGUACCUUGAACUAAAGCUUCAGUUACCAUUUGCAUCAUCUUCCCACUUUCAACAUAAAAAUCUUUCAGUCCACUGAUAAUUGCCUCGGUUCCAUCAUUUGAACUUCCCACAGCUCUUUUUCCUCUUUCUUUGGCUAUUUUCAGAUGGGGUGCUUUGUUGGCUUUGUUGAUUCAUUGAAGAAACAAAAUUUUCACCUCCAAUAUCACUUUCACCAACAUGAUCAUGACUUUGUUCCUCCAUCAUUUGAGCAGGGGUUUCGGCUACAUUACCCGUAGCCCGAUCUUUUCCAAAUAUAUAUGCAAAUCUAUCAA
rnacentral:lncRNA from 1 species